rnacentral:rRNA from 1 species
CGGCACGGGUGAGUAACGCGUGGAUGAUCUACCCAAUGAGUUGGGAAUAACGGUUGGAACGAUCGCUAAUACCCGGUACCGUUCCGAUUUUCAACUUACGGGAGAAAGGGGGCCGUCUGCUUGCAAGCUUCUGCUCAUGGAUGAGUCCGCGUCCCAUUAGCUAGUUGGUGAGGUAACGGCUCACCAAGGCAUCGAUGGGUAGCCGGUCUGAGAGGAUGACCGGCCACACUGGGACUGGAACACGGCCCAGACUCCUACGGGAGGCAGCAGUGGGGAAUAUUGCGCAAUGGGCGAAAGCCUGACGCAGCGACGCCGCGUGAGGGAUGAAAGGUCUUCGGAUCGUAAACCUCUGUCAAGAGGGAAGAAACGUCAGGGCGCUAAUCAGCCCUGAUCUGACGGUACCUCUAAAGGAAGCACCGGCUAACUCCGUGCCAGCCGCUGC